rnacentral:rRNA from 1 species
GCAACUCGACACUCCAUGAAGUCGGAAUCGCUAGUAAUCGCAAAUCAGAAUGUUGCGGUGAAUACGUUCCCGGGCCUUGUACACACCGCCCGUCACACCAUGGGAGUGGGUUGCACCAGAAGUAGAUAGCUUAACCUUCGGGAGGGCGUUUACCACGGUGUGAUUCAUGACUGGGGUGAAGUCGUAACAAGGUAACCCUAGGGGAACCUGGGGUUGGAUCACCUCCUUACCUUAAUGA